AACGAACGCUGGCGGCAUGCCUAACACAUGCAAGUCGAACGAGACCUUCGGGUCUAGUGGCGCACGGGUGCGUAACGCGUGGGAACCUGCCCUUAGGUUCGGAAUAACUCCCCGAAAGGGGUGCUAAUACCGGAUAAUGUCUUCGGACCAAAGAUUUCUCGCCUUUGGAUGGGCCCGCGUUGGAUUAGCUAGUUGGUAGGGUAAAAGCCUACCAAGGCGACGAUCCAUAGCUGGUCUGAGAGGAUGAUCAGCCACACUGGGACUGAGACACGGCCCAGACUCCUACGGGAGGCAGCAGUGGGGAAUAUUGGACAAUGGGCGAAAGCCUGAUCCAGCAAUGCCGCGUGAGUGAUGAAGGCCUUAGGGUUGUAAAGCUCUUUUACCCGGGAUGAUAAUGACAGUACCGGGAGAAUAAGCUCCGGCUAACUCCGUG
rnacentral:rRNA from 1 species